UACGUGAGGGUGCGAGCGUUUAAUCGGAAUUACUGGGCGUAAAGCGUGCGCAGGCGGUUUUGUAAGACAGAGGUGAAAUCCCCGGGCUCAACCUGGGAACUGCCUUUGUGACUGCAAGGCUUGAGUGCGGCAGAGGGGGAUGGAAUUCCGCGUGUAGCAGUGAAAUGCGUAGAUAUGCGGAGGAACACCGAUGGCGAAGGCAAUCCCCUGGGCCUGCACUGACGCUCAUGCACGAAAGCGUGGGGAGCAAACAGG
rnacentral:rRNA from 1 species